rnacentral:tRNA from 1 species
GCCUGGGUGGCUUGGUCGGUUAAGCGUCUGACUUCGGCUCAGGUCAUGAUCUCACGGUCUGUGGGUUCGAGCCCCGCGUCAGGCU